GGCACUUUGGCGGAGUGGUUAACGCGAUGCCCUGCUAUUCCCAAUAGAGAUAGCUUAGGCAUUCCCUUCGGGGGCGUGUGUUCGAAUCACACAGGUGUCG